UGAACAGUUACGUGUCCGCACCCAGACGUCACGGCCAACACUCUUCUCUGACCGCCACCGCCGCUACCGCUCAGUUUCAUCAAACCCUUUGCAGGUGGACGUGUAUCCUUCCAGGUUUUUUUCUACGUGUUUCACAUGUUUAUCUAAUGUAUUAGUCAGUGCAGACUGCCAUAACAAAAUACCACAGCCCGGAAGGCUUAAAACAACACAUAUUUCUCACCGUUCCGGAGGCUGGAUGUCCAAGAUCAAGCACAUUCUAGAAGAAAAGCACUGGCAGAGCCCAGCAACCCGUGAAAACUGUGGAAGAAACCCGAAAUUAGGAGGGUAACUCUGACGGCCAGGAAAAGGGAGUUUGCCUUUUGAAGCCCAUCCCUGGGCCUGCACCUCAUUUCACAGGUGAGGAGACCGAGGCAGAGAGGACGUGGGGCCUGCCCAAAGCUACAAAAGCUGAAAGGAAGGCAGGGAGCGUUCGAACGCACAGAGCAGAGUUCAGAGGCACGAAGCGCGUUCGGCAGCCGGCACCCUAUCCGUCUUCCCAAACUGUCCUAAACUGCCGUCCCGCCUGCCGCCGCAGCACCGCCUUCUUUUUCAGAAGAACUAAAACAUUUACACUGAGCGGAGGCCCGCGUGCUCCGCAAAAUCGAAAAGACAGAGAAGCAAACACGGUGUACCCGUCAGUCUCCGCGCCCCUGCGCCUCAG